CAGACGGGGCUUCACCAUGUUGGCCAGGAUGGUGCGAUCUCUUGACCUCGUGAUCUGUCCACCUUGGCUUCCCAAAGUGCUAGGAUUACAGGCGUGAGCCACCGUGCGUGGUCAAACAUAAACUUACUUUCUUACCUCUUCUGCUGAACUCUAUUUGCUUCUUUUCUCAACUUCUGCUGAACUCUAUUUUGCUUCUUUUUCCUGGAUAAAGCUCUUCUUUAUCCAGAAGAGCUUUUAGCAACAAAGUUACCCAAUGCCCUUCCCUAGUCUCUC
rnacentral:lncRNA from 10 species